rnacentral:rRNA from 1 species
CGAGGGGCCCCUCUCGGGUUACCGAAUUCAGACAAACUCCGAAUGCCAAUUAAUUUAACUUGGGAGUCAGAACAUGGGUGAUAAGGUCCAUGUUCGAAAGGGAAACAGCCCAGACCACCAGCUAAGGUCCCAAAAUAUAUGUUAAGUGGAAAAGGAUGUGGCGUUGCCCAGACAACUAGGAUGUUGGCUUAGAAGCAGCCAUCAUUUAAAGAGUGCGUAAUAGCUCACUAGUCGAGUGACACUGCGCCGAAAAUGUACCGGGGCUAAACAUAUUACCGAAGCUGUGGAUUGUCCUUUGGACAAUGGUAGGAGAGCGUUCUAAGGGCGUUGAAGCAUGAUCGUAAGGACAUGUGGAGCGCUUAGAAGUGAGAAUGCCGGUGUGAGUAGCGAAAGAUGGGUGAGAAUCCCGUCCACCGAUUGACUAAGGUUUCCAGAGGAAGGCUCGUCCGCUCUGGGUUAGUCGGGUCCUAAGCUGAGGCCGACAGGCGUAGGCGAUGGAUA